CUCAGCAAGUUUAAUACGCGCUUUCUAACUAGGGCAAGGCUCUCGUGCUCGCGUCCCUUUUUAAAGUACGUUAGUCUAUGCUCUAGCAGAUACUCGCGUCGCGGCCGGGCUCACCUCAUGAGGUAGUCCCGGAAGUCCUUGCUCCGGACAUAGUCCGCCGCCUUGCGCACCAGCGCGCCCGCCAUGGCCGUGCCGCACGCAGGCCGCCGUCGCCGCCGCCACUCGGAGCCCCGCAGCCAGGCCCAGCGGACAGAGGGGACACACGCCGCCCGCCGCCCGCGUCACGACAGCUCGGCCCCGCCUUACGGCCGCCGGCGCUCGGCCAAUGGGAGGGCUCGGGGCGGGAGGCGGCCAGCGGAUUGGCCCGCGCGCGCCGCACACCUUCUCCCCGCCCCCCGGGCGCUCGGGGGCGGGGCCUCUGCCGUAAACUGGCCGGACCUGGCGGCGACUGGCGGGCGGUUGCUAGGGGGUUGCUGGGCGGUGACACUCGGGCGGCGUCCGCUCAAGGGCACGGCGCCCGCCUCUCCGGUCCCCGCACCGUCCCCGGUCCCCCCCCCCCCGUCCGCCCCGCGCUGCCGCCAAGUCCACGCAGGCCCCGGCGUGCGAGGGACCUGGAGCCACAGGGUUCGGCGGGGCGGUUUCUGUUGUUCAGGGUUAAUUUUUGUGUUUGAUUCUCCAUCCGGGCCUCCGUGUGGGUGACUCGGGCAUUGGAGACGCUGCAGGGACGGUCUUGGCCCAGGAGCAUCGCCUGGGGGACGGUGACUCGGGCGCGUGUUCACAUUGGUGAUGGGCCAGCACGCGCGGCUCUAGAGCCACAGCCUCCCGGACGGCGGGUGUGCGGUGUCCCGCGAUGCACGCCCUCCCGGCGCACCAACUGGGAGCUGCGGGCGCCCCUCCCGCGGGGAGAGCGAGGUGGUCCCGGUGCCUCCGGUCCUGUCGAGGGGACGCUGUGCAGCAGCAGCAAGAAGAGGCCUCGGUGUGCGCCGGGGCGACCGUUACGUUCACCGGAAAAGCGUCCAGGCGCAGAACGGUGUCGGAUAUGCUGCUCGCGUGUGCACAGGGACAAUGACAGGAGACAGCAGACCGGAGAAACGUCGGGGCUAAGGAGGGUUACAGGUUCGAGGGAUGCGGGAAAGGCCUCACCUACCCUCCUGCUCCCUCUGGCGUUGGUAGGAUGAGCAGGUGUUCGCUCUUAACAAAUAAAUGCGCUAAAGAAGGAGAACUGCUUUUUAGAACUAAAACAGCAGGUCGCUGAUUCAAUCCGAAUCGUGUUCUGCGGGGAUCGCCCCGGGUCAGCCUGGCCUUGGUCUGUGAGUCCCGGGCUGGACACUGCAGCCUCCUGGCAGCGCCGGGAAGGUGGGCACAGCCCCGGUGCUUCCCGGGAGGUGGAGUGGACGCCCUCAAGGGAGGCAAAGGGGUUUGAUGAUUAACAAUGGUAACAGGUGCCUCCUGUUGACCCGUAGGCACUUGUACACCGUUUCUCCUCCUAUCAACCCAGGAGGGGGGUGUAAGAAACUGCUUGGCUUCCUGGAUAAAAACCAAACUGCUCCCCCUCCCCCCACAAACAAACACGCAGACAAAACCACACCAAACUUCCCCUGCGAGAUUGGCGGGCGGAGAGGGCCUCUCGUAGGCCUGUGAUCAUCUCUGAUGUUGAGCAGCCGUCUCCUGAGCGGUGUUCAGCUGGACAAAAGGCUUUCUAAGAGCAGAAAUUCCUAUAAUAGGAAAAACCGUGACCUGUGAAGCGGGUGUAAGCAUGAUGUUCAAUGUUGAGUUUACAUUUCCGGGCAGAAAUUAAAUGAAAGAAGGCAGACAUGAGGGAGCCUGUAUGGUGGGAUUCCACGUGUGUGAAUGUCCAGAGUACACAGUCCACGGACGCAGGAAAUAGAGGGGGGCUGCCUGUGGCCGGGGGGAGCUGGGGAGUC